AUAGCUGCCCCUCAAGCGUUUUGGAUUCUGGUACGCUGAUCGCUUAACGAGCAAGUUAAGGUAUUUGCUUCAGGGUGAAGCGCGAGCGCUUUUAAAGCGCCGAGAGUAUGCAGUGUCUCACGAGGAGAAUCAUUCGCACGCUAUGCAAGAGGCCGUCAGUCCUAGAGCUUUCCGUGGAAGAUGAGGCGAAAAUUAGAGCGUUGGAGAAGGGUAUUAUUCCUGCUACAGGGGAGCCAGUAGAGGUCCUUCGUGCCCAGGUAUUCCACGAGUCCAGGUUCUCGGGCGCUUCUCCUGGACGAUCGGGUGUGCCCGUACUCAAAAAGCAGUAUCGUGGACCACUGUUGCUCUCGUGGUACCCGGAGCGUCUCGAGAAAAAUCCUUACUGUGAGAUUAAGCUUUCAGAGAAACAGGAGCGCUGGUGGCGGAAACUGCAAGUCUGGCGAGCGCAGGGGCGGGGCCCUCCACGUAAAGGCAGUGGCAAACGUGGAGGCAAAAAGUCUGGGAAGUAGGCUGAUCCCAGCUGAGCUCGGGGCUCCUGCCAGGGCUCGAACCUCGGCAAGGCGACUUUGCAGAGGCUGCAGCUCGAGUACUGCGAGACGCGUUUGCUACAGCGCACAAGCCAACAAAUGGUGCGAGUGACAUGGAUCCAGCGAUCGAGUCGGAUACCUCGCACGUAUGACAUACAGAGCAAGAAAUGAAGAGAGUCCGCCAUGACCAGGUCUGUCGUCCAUGCGGCAGCAUUUCGCGAUGCAUCCUCGCCUCUUGGGGGCUAGUGCGCAGCAUUUCAAAGACCUUGCCGAACGCGCAUAAACUGUAGCCUUUUGAGUUUCUCGCGGGCGCUUGUUGCUCGGUGAUUGCUUCGCAUUUGGAGACUGCAUUACUUUGCUGACGGCGAUAUCGCAGGGCACUGGUUCGGAAUGAAGUUGUUCUCCAAGGCGCGCUUUGGUUUGCUCUUCGUGAAAGAGUUUUUUCCGUGCAAAUCCUUAGCGAGGAUGAAACAAUGAGGUCUAAUUCGUCGUUAGCGCCGUUCGAUGGAGAUCUAUGCAGCUUUCAGUAAUUCAGGCAAUCUCGAAUGCACUGCACAACUUUUUCUGCGGAUGGCAAAUAGUUCUUCUCGUGGACAAGAGGGAAAGGCAUAUCAUAGCCACAUACGCGCAUGACCGGACUCUCCAGGUCGAGGAAACAUUCCUCCUGGAUUCGAGCGGCAACUUCGGCACCGACUCCACCAGUAAGCGGCGCCUCAUGGCUGACGAUGCAUCGCCCGGUGCGCGCAACGGAUUCGCACACUGUCGCUUCAUCCCACGGCAGAAUCGUUUGAAUAUCUAUGACCUCUGCCUCGAUCUUGUCUUCUCUGGCGACGACUUGGGCUGCUUCGAGAAGCACGCGGACUUGCGCUCCGUAUGCCACCAAGGUGAUGUCCGUCCCGGGGCGAACGAUCUCAGCCCGGCCAAGUGGCAACACAUACUUGCUGAGAGGUACCUCUGCCUGGGCUGCUCGAUAAAGUGCCUUGGGCUCGAAGAAGAUGACCGGAUCAUCCUCAGCGAUCGACUGCAACAAAAGGCCUUUUGCGGUGAACGGAUCGCGGGGUAUAACGACCUUGAUACCGGCCGUGUGCAAAAAAUAAGCCUCAGGAGAUUGCGAAUGGUAGUGCCCUCCAUGGCCGACCGCGCCGUAAGGCGCUCUGAUAACCACUCCACCACAAUUAAACUGUCCUCCAGAUCGGUAGCGAUAUUUCGCGA